AUACGGAGGAUCCGAGCGUUAUCCGGAUUUAUUGGGUUUAAAGGGUGCGCAGGCGGCCAUUUAAGUCAGCGGUUAAAUCGUGGGGCUCAACCCCAUUCUGCCGUUGAUACUGGGUGGCUUGAUUGCGGUCGAGGUUGGCGGAAUUCGUUGUGUAGCGGUGAAAUGCAUAGAUAUGACGAAGAACACCGAUUGCGUAGGCAGCUGACCAGACCGCAAAAUGACGCUCAUGCACGAAAGUGCGGGGAUCGAACAGGAUUAGAUACCCUGGUAGUCCGCACAGUAAACGAUGAAUACUUGUUUUCGGCGAUAUAAUGUCGGAGGCAAAGCGAAAGCGAUAAGUAUUCCACCUGGGGAGUACGCCGGCAACGGUGAAACUCAAAUGAAUUGACGGGG
rnacentral:rRNA from 1 species